rnacentral:rRNA from 1 species
CGGCUCAGUAACACGUGGAUAACCUACCCUCAGAUCUGGGAUAACUCCGGGAAACUGGAGAUAAUACCGGAUAAUCCGUGAACGCUGGAAUGCCUUACGGUUGAAAGCUUUAGCGUCUGAGGAUGGGUCUGCGGCCGAUUAGGUAGUUGCUGGGGUAACGUCCCAACAAGCCGAUAAUCGGUACGGGUUGUGAGAGCAAGAGCCCGGAGACGGAUUCUGAGACACGAAUCCAGGUCCUACGGGGCGCAGCAGGCGCGAAAACUUUACACUGCGCGAAAGCGCGAUAAGGGGACCUCGAGUGCGUGCGCAAAGCGUACGCUUUUCAGAUGCCUAAAAAGCAUCUGGAAUAAGGGCCGGGCAAGACCGGUGCCAGCCGCCGCGGUAACACCGGCGGCUCAAGUGGUGGCCGCUAUUAUUGGGCUUAAAGGGUCCGUAGCCGGACCAGUUAGUCCCUUGGGAAAUCUUACGGCUUAACCGUAAGGCUGCCAAUGGAUACUGCUGGUCUUGGGACCGGGAGAGGCAAGAGGUACCUCAGGGGUAGGAGUGAAAUCCUGUAAUCCUUGAGGGACCGCCAGUGGCGAAGGCGUCUUGCUAGAACGGGUCCGACGGUGAGGGACGAAAGCUAGGGGCACGAACCGGAUU